UUUUUUUUUGUUGAACAUUUCUGUGUAAGAGCUUAAGAUAAAUAAAUAUGCUAAAAGAGAGAUUAAUUUAACAGUUUCAUACUCUGACUCAUUCAAACUUGAGGAUGUUGACCAUUAACCUAAACACGCUUCAUUUAAAGAAUUUAAAUAGUUUACCGACGUACAUGGUUGUAGAAAACAUACUAUGAAGUUUACAUUAGUUUAAUUAUGUCUUUG
rnacentral:lncRNA from 1 species